rnacentral:misc_RNA from 1 species
UUUCCGUAGGUGAACCUGCGGAAGGAUCAUUACAGAGUUCAUGCCCUCACGGGUAGAUCUCCCACCCUUGAAUAUUUAUACCUUAGUUGCUUUGGCAGGCCGUGGAAACACCAUGGGCUCCGGCUUAUGCGUGCCUGCCAGGGGAAACGAACUCUGUUUUUAGUGAUGUCUGAGUACUAUAUAAUAGUUAAAACUUUCAACAACGGAUCUCUUGGUUCUG